rnacentral:lncRNA from 1 species
CAAUGCCAAAUAAGUAUACUAUGGAGAUAUAUAUAUUAUGACGAAUUUAAUAAAAUCUAUCUAGAGUUGUAGAUUUUUGUUGAUGGUUCUAUCAACUUGGUCAAAUUUCAAAAAGAGAAAGAAAAAUUAACUUAGAAUAUAGUCAAAACAUCUUAUAAUUUAGAAAGAAAAAAACACUACAGAAUAUGCUAUCUCACCAGGUACAAAAGGUCCAACUGUGGCGUUUAUAGCCGUCUACGGUAGAGCAAAUAAUAUUCUAUCCCAAUUAAUUAGAACAGAAGGAGUACAUUGAUUAAUCUAUCCCUGCACCCAGGGCGAAAGAUGCCACGCCAUCUUGCUUCAUGCUGCUCCUUUUUGCUGGGUGGGGCAUAUGGGUUGGUCUGCAGUUUGUAGCUAGAUUUGGUGGUUGGCAUAUGCAGAUUGAGUUGGUUCUGACCACCUCCACGUCAGAAAAGGCAUGACAGAAUUAAAAGAAAACACAGGGCUAGACUCCCAGGACCGGUCAUAUGAGCCAGGCAGAGAUAUUUCGGUCCCAGGAAGCUAUCUGCAAGUAUUCUGUCCGUCUGACUUUUUAUUACAUUUAUCUAGACAUAUUUAAGAUACAUACAUAAUUUUAUAUAAUUUUGAGUUACUUAAUAUGAAACGGAGGGAGUACAUUACA